UACGAAGGGGGCGAGCGUUGUUCGGAUUUACUGGGCGUAAAGGGCGCGCAGGCGGCUUAUUUUGUCAGGCGUGAAAGCCCCGGGCUUAACCUGGGAACUGCGUUUGAUACGGAUGGGCUAGAGUUCGGGAGAGGUGAGUGGAAUUCCGAGUGUAGAGGUGAAAUUCGUAGAUAUUCGGAAGAACACCAGUGGCGAAGGCGGCUAUCUGGACGGUUUCUGACGCUAAGACGCGAAAGCGUGGGGAGCAAACAGG
rnacentral:rRNA from 1 species